AGCUUUGCGCAGUGGCAGUAUCGUAGCCAAUGAGGUUUAUCCGAGGCGCGAUUAUUGCUAAUUGAAAAAAAAAAGCCCUAAACAAAAGCUCCCUUUUCACAGAAUGUUAAGUAUCAGGCAAUGGAGUGUCAGUAAGUCAGCUUCAGA
ensembl:snRNA U4 U4 spliceosomal RNA